GUGGCGCACUGUAAUCCCAGCACUCGGGAGGCUGAGGCAGGAGGAACGUUGAGAGUUCGAGACCAGCCUGGGCUACAAAGUGAGCUCAGGGCCAGCCUGAGCCACAUAGUGAGACCCUGUCUCAAAAAGACAAAAGAAAAAAAAAACAAGUACUGGGUUUAUGGGUGUAUAAACUGGCACGCCGAGGAGCACAAGGUAUGGGCAGUUUGAGGGGAUCCAUUGAAAGGGCUCUCUGGUGUCCGUGCGCUGCUUGCAUCUGUACCCACAGAGUCUGCACCACGCCUGCUGGCCUUUCCCACCUCCCCUUUCACAGCCUGCUGCGCUUACAAAAGCAAGGUGCAUCUCUCACCCGUCCUGAACUUUACAUUGCAAAUUCACCAAAGACGUUUAAAAAAACUAUCUCUGUACACGGGGCGCUACAUUUAGUAGGCGCCACGUCUUUCCCUGUCUUGUGUUUUGUUGCGUUUGGAGCACCACACCGGGGACCGGGUGGCUUGACACGCACUGCCACACUGUCUGUCUGUCUUACAGGGUCGACAGAGAAGGGCCGGCUUUAUUCCCUCAUCCGGCUGCAGACCGCUGUGACACAGUGCAUUGCUUCGGAGACGGAGACGGAGACGGAGACAGAGAGGGGGCCGGGUAACCAUUGGCCAGGGCCUUCGCAGCAUUGUACCGUGGUGGAGGGCAGCGUGGAGCAAGAUGGUGCCCAGCGCACUGGCAGGGUCUCUUCCUCUUCCCCUCAAGUCACCGGUGCCAUCACGGGCCUGCACCCUCCAACCUCACCCCAGAGCCUAAUCCCUGGCCUUGGAGCCCAUUCUCAUCUCAACCUGGGGACACAUUCACAGUGUUAUAGGCAGCUGAGUUAGAUAGCAAUUAAUAUACAGUCAGAGAGGGACGGGGCUCUCAAGGAAGUCAACGAAAAAUAGACACUGGAAUUGUGGCUGGAUUGCCCAGUGUGGUGGCGCACGCCUGUAAUCCCAGCACUCGGGAGGCUGAGGCAGGAGUAUCCUUGCAAGUUCAAGGCCAGCCUGAACUGCAUAGUGAGAUGCUGUCUCAAAAAGGCAAAAAAAAGAAAAAAAGAAUUGUGGCUGGAGGCGCGUCUGAAGAAGGCCAGGCCUCAAGAUAAAGAUGCAGUGGCCAGGCCUACACUGCCUCCCUAAGGGAUAAGCAAUAACUUGAGAUUGUGCUGUAGUUAGCGCUACUUGGUCCAGAAGUCCAGAUAGGCAUCAGUCACCCAGGUGGGUGACCCGAGCACUGGAAUCAUCCCUUCUCCAAAAUGCCUUCGUUUUUUCCAUGUGCCCUUGCUACAGGCCUCGGUCCCCUAACGGAUCAAUAUUAACCAGGCAGCUAUAGCCUCUUGUAAUCUUACUGUAGUUUGACCCGCGUUGUACCCACGUUGUGACUUUGCUGUAUAAAUCACUCCUGGCCUUGGUGGCCACUCCCUCUGGACCCCUCGUGGAAAUCCAAGAGCUAUUCUUCUUCCCCCUUAUUUCCAAUAAAACUCUCCUA
rnacentral:lncRNA from 1 species